CUCCCCAUCGCUCUCAUUACUGCCUGAGCUCCACCUCCUGUCAGAUCAGUGGCGGCAUUAGAUUCUCAUAGGAGCUUGAAUCCUGCUGUGAACUGCGCAUACGAGGGAUAUAUGUUGCGUGCUCCUUAUGAGAAUCUAAUGCAUGAUGAUCUGAAGUGGAGCUGAGGCAGUGAUGCUAGCACUGGGGAGCGGCUGCAAAUACAGAUUAUCAUUAGCGGAGAGGUUUGACUGCACAGAGACCAUGAUAAAUCAACUGCUUGCAGACUCAUAUCAAAACCCAAUCUGUGGGUGUCAAGUGAAAACAAGCUCAGGGCUCCCACUGAUUCUGCAUUAUGAGUCAUCCCAACUGCAACACAAAGACCAGAUGGUUUCUGCAUUAUAGUUCCUGCUGCCAAGCCUGAGGAGCUGCCUGGAACUGCCAGUUUUCCAAGACGGGUGCUCCAGACUCUUGUUAAUACUUGUGCACCUGAUACGCUUCUGAUAUACGUAUUCUGGCUUUCUUUUUCCACUUCUUUUUCUUUUUCCUUCCCUUCCUCCCUCCCUUCCUUCCUUCCUCUCUGUCUCUCCCUUCCUUCCUUCCAACCUUCCUUCCUUUCUCUCUCUCUCUCUCUCUCUCUCUCUCUCUCUUUCUUUUCAACCACAUUUGGUCUCAGUGGCUUACAACCAAGACUCUUGACAGAUUCAAGGCCUAAUGAACAGAAACUACCAGACUAUGGUGCAGCUUCAUCUCACAUAAGUGGUUCCUAGAUCAACCCAGUGGGGUUUCUCCUGCCGUAUCACACACAGUCUCAAUGCUACUACUAGAGUUAAGAAAAUGCUUUCAAGAUAAAGAAGUAGAGGCUUUUCUAGAUGUGGCUUAACUCAGGAACGUGGUUUGCAGUACCACCAGCUGCCCCUGCCCUUCUGGCCAGCCUGUGCCCAACGGCUUCUGUGGAUGGACAGCUAGAGGGGGAGGCAAAGCAGCUUCCCAGCGGGGCUCUGCCUUUCACCACAGGACCGUAUUGGGUAGGUUACUUGACUUUUCUAAGCCUCGACUUCCAAAUCUGUAAAACAGAUAAAAACUCAGGCUGCCUCACAGGUUUGUGAGGACUGAAUGAGAAAACAGAUGCAAAGCACCUGCCCCAUAGAAAUCACCAAAUGAAGGUCAGAGCCCCUGAUGAUUUUAUGAUGAUCAAACUUAACACUUCAGGAAGCAAUGCAUUCUCAUUUGAGACAGCCUGAGUUACUGACAAAUGGUUUCUUAUAUAGAGCAGAAUUUUGCCUCUAGUACAUUUUAUUCAUUGGUCUUAAGUAUUCCCUCUGGGAAAAAAGCAAAUUAGGCAUCACACUCUUCCACAUGACAACCCUUUAAAUAGUUGAAGGUACAUUUCCCCCGUUCACCCAUAUGAAACUUGUGUCUGCCAACUUCCCCACCCAACCCACACUCAAGUUUUUAUAUACAAACUACUCUUUAGCCAGUUCUCCUCAAAUUUAUUCUUGGAAAUAUUUUUAAACUGUUGUUAUUUACAUUUAUAUUCCAUUUUAUUUCACAACAGCUUUGACUAUCAUCUUAGCCCCUCAAGAGUUUUUCUUUUAUUGAAAUAUAAUUGAUUUGCAAUGUUUCCGGUGUACAGCAGAGUGAUUCAGUUAUACAUAUAUAUAUGUAUAUAUACAUAUUCUUUUUCAGAUUCUUUUCUUUAUAGGUUAUUACAAGAUAUUGAAUAUAGUUCCCUGUGCUAUACAGUAGGUCCUUGUUGUUUAGCUAGUUUAUAUAUGGUAGUGUGUAUCUGUUAAUCCCAAAUUGUUAAUUUAUCCCUCCCCCCAAGAGCUUUUUAAUCUGGAUUUCAUUAUUCUCUGUAUGAGCAAGUUCUCUGGAUUAGCUAGGAUUAGGUUUGCCUAUGAAUUACAUGACACUAAGAUAUACAUACAGACACUUAGGUUGUUUCCAUACCUUGGCUGUUGUGAAUAAUGCUGCAGCGAUCAUGGGAGUACAGAUAUCUCUCUAGAUAAUGGUUUUGUGUCCUUUGUAUGUCAGAAGUGGGAUUGCUGGGUCAUACAGUAGUUCUAUUAUUGAUUUUUUUGAAGAACCUCCAUACUGUUUUUCAUAGUGGCUACAGCAAUUUGCAUUCCCACCAACAGUGCCCGAGGGCUCCCUUUUCUCCACACCCCCGCCAGCAUGUUUUAUCUCUUUUUCAAAAUAGCCAUUCUAACAGGUGUUAGGUUAUAUCUCACUGUGCUUUUUAUUUUCAUUCCCCUGAUUAGUGAUGUUGAGCACCUUUUCAUGUACCUAUUGGUUAUUUGUAUGUCUUCCUUGGAAAAAUAUUUAUUCAAAUCCUUUGUUCUGACUGCUCCACCCACCAGCCUUUCCCUCUCUCUCCAUAUCUUCUGGCCUCUCUAUUCCCUGAGACACAACAAUAUUGAAAUUAGGCCAGUUAAUAAUCAUACAAUGGCCUCUAAGUGUUCAAGUGAAAGGAAGAGUCACACGUCUCUCACUUUAAAUCAAAAAUUAUAAAUGAUUAAUGUGAGGGAGGAAGGCAUGGUGAAAUUCAAGAUAGACUGAAAGCUAGGACUCUUGCACCCAACAGUUAGCCAAGUUGGGAAUGCAAAGGAAAGUUCCUGAAAGAAAUCAAAAUUGCCACUCCAGUGAACACAUGAAUAAUAAAAAAAAACUGUAACAGCCUUAUUGCUGAUAUGGAGAAAGUUUUAGUGAUUUGGAUAGAUCAAACCAACCACAAUAUCCCCUUAAGCCAAAAGCCCAAUACAGACAAAGGCUCUAAUUCUCUUCAAUUCCAUGAAGUCUGAGAGAGAUGAAGGCACUGCAGAAGAAAGGUUUGAAGCGAGCAGAGGUUGGUUAUGAGGUUUAAGGAAAGAAGCCAUCUCCAUAACAUAAAAGUGCAAAGUGAAGCAGCAAGUGCUGAUAUACAAGCUGCAGCAAGUUAUCCAGAAGAUCUGGCUAUAGAUGAUUAAUGAAGGUGGUUACACGAAACAACAGACUUUCAGUGUAUAUGAAACCACCCUAUAUUGGAAGAAGAUGCCACCUAGACUAUCAUAUCUAGAGAGGAGAUGUCAAUGCCUGACUUCAAAUCUUCAAAGGACAGGCUGACUCUCUUGUUAGGGGCCGAAGCAAUUGGUGAUUUUGUGGUGAAGCCGAUGCUCACUUACCAUUCCAAAAAUCCUAGGGCCCUUCAGAAUUAUGCUCAGUCUGCUCUUCCUGUGCUCUAUAACUGGAACAACAAAGCCUGGACUUCAGCUAAAACAGCAGAAGCUGAACUGCUCCCAUACUCCUUAUUUGCUGCAUACACUUCUCCAAUGUGUUGAAGCCCUUCUUCUAAUCUAGUUUAUAUCCCAAGUUUGUAUCCACCUUGACAAUAAAAUUCUUCCACUUACUCUAGGACUUUUUGAAAUAAGAUUAUAAUGUCCCAAGUCAUGUAGGGACUGGGUCCACAAAUGCCCUAUAUAUAUCUCACUUUUUAGCAGUAGCCACGGUGAUUGGUUCAGUGGGUGAACACGUGAGCUAAGUUGUCCAGUCUGUCUGUGGAAUUUUUAUAUAGCAAAAUGGGGAAAAAAUGUAUUCUUACUUUGCUCUAGAAUCACAAAAUUUGGAGACUCUAAGCCGGGAAUUGGCUACCUUCCCACACCCCCACCAUGUAUAUGAAUCCAUCUCUCUGCAAUAGAAGAGGAUAAAAUCAAUAAGCAGGAAAAACAGAGACAAAAGACAACCAUGAUGGCAUUGUGUCUCCAGGUCCUAUAUCUGAAGCUCCCCAGUUUGCCCGAUCCCUGCAGCUCUUCCUUGGCUUCUCUGAACAACCCCCUGGAUGACUUCAUUAAAACAACCUUGGUGCUUAAUCUUUCUUAAGUUGGAGUUUAUGUCAUUGCAAACAUAAGAAUAUUAACUGUAGCAGAGAUAGCUAACUCUUAUGCCCCAAAUGUAUGCAUUUCCUUCCUGGAGUUCCUACCAGGAACUGCAACCCAGUCAGGCAACACAACUUUCCAACCUCAAUACACCGAGGUGGGGCCAUGUGACUUGUUCUUAGUAAUGGAAACAAGCGUGUAUUAAUUCCAGAUCAAGAUUGUUAAGAAGUGGUUAUAUCUUCUUCACUCUUUUUUUUUCUUCCACUAGCUGAAUACAGAUAAGCACAGUGUCAGAUGGUGAACCUAUAAGACAGAACGAGGCUGAAAUCCUAAAUCACUAGUUGGAGGAAAGUUUCCCACUAAUCUCUUUGGGAGUUGAUGUGAUUGACAAGUAAACUUCUAUCAUACAUAUUUGAAAAAUUAUAUAUUUUGAGGAUUGUGUGAUACAGCAACUACUCCUAUCCCAAGUAAUUCACUAACUAUUGAAGUCCUUAAUCUCAAGUUUUUCAUGGCAAUUAAAAUUUUCUUUGAGCUUAGGAAUGAACAUGAAAGAUAUCCUAGAAGAGGUAUCACUUGAACCAAAUCUGGAAAUAUGAGAAGAAUUCAAUUGUGUGAUAAAGGAAGGGAAUGGCAUUCCAGUGGAAGAGAAGAACAUAUGCAAAAAAGGACAGCAAGAAAAAUCAUGGAAUAUUUGGAGACUAGUAAUCCAUUUAUUAUUAAUAAAGAAAGAAGAAGAGUAAUGGGAUAUCAGUUGAAGUAGCAGGGGGGAACCAGAUCAUAAUAUGUCUUGGACCAAAACAAAUUCUAUGAAACUCUGGGUUCCCACAACCACAAUCAUUAUAUCACCCUUGAUGACAGAAAGAGCAAGUAAUUCUUUAUAGAAAUUUUUUUGUAGGAUUCAUGGCAUGUAUAUCAAGAGAAGAAAUUGAUACUCUGCACAUAACUAAUGGAGUUAGAGUUUGGGCUAAUUUCUGGAUUGAACUUGAACUUGAAGGUAGUUAAUGGUCUUUGCAGUAGCUUGGGAUAAAACUGCUUAGAAAGAGUUCUUUGUAUGGGAUGGUGACAAAAUAAUCUAAAUGAAUUCUCUCUUGCAGGAUAUAGAAAUAAAAAAUACUCACAGGGAAAGCAAAUCACUUAAGCAAUGGCUGUAUCCAGAAAUAUUGUUAACAAUUCUCUGUGAGGUUUAUGGAAUAAGCCAGUUAUGGAAGUAUCAGGACCCAAGGCCAACUGAUAACAAGAAAGUGAGACAGUAGCCAGGUUACCUUGCUUUAUCUUGCUUUCUUGUGCUAAUCCCACAUAACCAGUGGUGAUCUGGGUGUACCACUUCCACGCCACCUUAGAAACGACUGCACUCAACCUAUUAUGCCACACUAACGAGUUCGUAUUCUAUGUUGAAUGUGAAAUUUACUCCUACAAUAAGGUAACAGCCAUAAUGUCAACUCCCAGGAAAUACAACAAUUGUAUUUUUAGUCCAGGCUUAUUUGACCUCUAGUAAUCAAUCAUGGACUCUGACAUGGAAAAAUUUUACAUUAAGUGAAAGAAAAUAAAUGGGUUAGAGGAAAUCAACUGAAACAACUGUUUUAUAACACGCAGGAAAGUAAUAUUUUAAAAUAGUCCAUCUGUUGACAGGAUAUUGAUACUUGGAAAUUUCUGUGUAUAAACUUAGCAGGGUUUUGGCCUUUCGUGUUGCAACUAUGACCCUUACUGGCCAGAAAGUAGCCAUGGAGGCAAGGAAAUACUGUUUAGAUACUGACAAUAAAUGAGAUAAAAAUCCAAUAGAAGGAUUGCACAUUGCAAGAAACAGAGUAGUUGAUUUAGGAUUGUAUGUCAUUUGGGCAAUCGAUUUCUCAACCUGUUUUUCACAAGAUGUUAUUUGGUAUUUUACAAUUAACGUUUCU